rnacentral:rRNA from 1 species
CUACGUGCCAGCAGCCGCGGUAAUACGUAGGGCGCGAGCGUUGUCCGGAAUUAUUGGGCGUAAAGAGCUUGUAGGCGGUUUGUCGCGUCUGCUGUGAAAGGCCGGGGCUUAACCCCGUGUAUUGCAGUGGGUACGGGCAGACUAGAGUGCAGUAGGGGAGACUGGAAUUCCUAGUGUAGCGGUGAAAUGCGUAGAUAUUAGGAAGAACACCAGUGGCGAAGGCGACUUUCUGGACGAAAACUGACGCUGAGGCGCGAAAGCCAGGGGAGCGAACGGGAUUAGAUACCCCGGUAGUCCUGGCCGUAAACGAUGGGUACUAGGUGUAGGAGGUAUCGACCCCUUCUGUGCCGGAGUUAACGCAAUAAGUACCCCGCCUGGGGAGUACGACCGCAAGGUUGAAACUCAAAGGAAUUGACGGGGGCCCGCACAAGCGGUGGAGUAUGUGGUUUAAUUCGACGCAACGCGAAGAACCUUACCAGGUCUUGACAUUGAUGGACAGAACUAGAGAUAG